CAGUCGCCACGGUAAUACGUAGGGUGCAAGCGUUAAUCGGAAUUACUGGGCGUAAAGCGUGCGCAGGCGGUUAUAUAAGACAGAUGUGAAAUCCCCGGGCUCAACCUGGGAACUGCAUUUGUGACUGUAUAGCUAGAGUACGGCAGAGGGGGAUGGAAUUCCGCGUGUAGCAGUGAAAUGCGUAGAUAUGCGGAGGAACACCGAUGGCGAAGGCAAUCCCCUGGGCCUGUACUGACGCUCAUGCACGAAAGCGUGGGGAGCAAACAGGAUUAGAUCCCCUGUAGUCCCUGUCUCUUAUACA
rnacentral:rRNA from 1 species